UCAAGUCAUCAUGGCCUUUAUGCCCAGGGUGUCACACGUGCUACAAUGGGGUGGUACAGAGCGACGCAAGACCGUAAGGUGGAGCAAAUCGCAGAAAACACCCCUCAGUUCGGAUUGAGGUCUGCAACUCGACCUCAUGAAGCUGGAAUCGCUAGUAAUCGCGUAUCAGCCAUGACGCGGUGAAUAUGUUCCUGAGCCUU
rnacentral:rRNA from 1 species